rnacentral:lncRNA from 1 species
UGCGCCUGCCCGGCGGGCGGAGGCUGCGGGCAAGGGGCGGGGCGUGGAGCUCGCUCCGCCUUCCAGCCCGCCAGUCCCCGGGGUGGAGGGGCUGGCCUGCUUCCGCCGCGAGCUCUGCCCGGUCCCCCUGCUAGUAAGAGCUCCUCAGUGCCCUGGGGACUGUCCCCGAGCGCCGGGGCCCAAGCGGACCGGCGCCAGCACCGCAUCGCGAAUCGGGUGCACGGAUUCACCUCGCAGGUGUUUUCGCGCACCUGGCAGAUGCGGGCCAGCGUGGAGGACGGCGCUUUGGGUCAGCGGCGAACACCCGACCGCAGGAGAAAGCCCACUCUGGGGGUGCGUCUGGGACCACCCCGGGGGCGAUGGGGACAGAGGGACGACUGGGAACCUCCAUCUCCUGGGGACAAGUGAGUCAGGGAGGGGACGAAGGCCGGGCCUGGGAUUAGAAAUCUCUCCCGUGGGCGGUGGG